rnacentral:lncRNA from 1 species
GUUACAACUCCUCUCAGUCAUCUCAUCAAUGCCUUCCAUUCACCAAAAAAUAUAUCUUUUUCUGUCAAUACAUCUGUUUCUCUAAAACAGCAUCGAGAUAUAGUUCCUGAGCAUGAAGCUCCCAGUAGUGAGCCUGUGCUUAAUUUAAGGGACCUUGGAUUAUCUGAAUUGAAAAUUGGACAGAUUAAUAAAAAGGUAGAAAAUUUA